GAUGAACGCUGGCGGCGUGCCUAAUACAUGCAAGUCGAGCGAACAGACGAGGAGCUUGCUCCUUCGACGUUAGCGGCGGACGGGUGAGUAACACGUAGGUAACCUACCUAUAAGACUGGGAUAACUUCGGGAAACCGGAGCUAAUACCGGAUAAUAUUUCGAACCGCAUGGUUCGAUAGUGAAAGAUGGCUUUGCUAUCACUUAUAGAUGGACCUGCGCCGUAUUAGCUAGUUGGUAAGGUAACGGCUUACCAAGGCAACGAUACGUAGCCGACCUGGGAGGGUGAUCGGCCACACUGGGACUGAGACACGGUCCAGACUCCUACGGGAGGCAGCAGUAGGGAAUCUUCCGCAAUGGGCGAAAGCCUGACGGAGCAACGCCGCGUGAGUGAUGAAGGUCUUCGGAUCGUAAAACUCUGUUAUUAGGGAAGAACAAACGUGUAAGUAACUGUGCACGUCUUGACGGUACCUAAUCAGAAAGCCACGGCUAACUACGUG
rnacentral:rRNA from 1 species